GAUGAACGCUGGCGGCGUGCCUAAUACAUGCAAGUCGAGCGAACAGACGAGGAGCUUGCUCCUCUGACGUUAGCGGCGGACGGGUGAGUAACACGUGGAUAACCUACCUAUAAGACUGGGAUAACUUCGGGAAACCGGAGCUAAUACCGGAUAAUAUAUUGAACCGCAUGGUUCAAUAGUGAAAGACGGUUUUGCUGUCACUUAUAGAUGGAUCCGCGCCGCAUUAGCUAGUUGGUAAGGUAACGGCUUACCAAGGCGACGAUGCGUAGCCGACCUGAGAGGGUGAUCGGCCACCCUGGAACUUGGACACGGUCCAGACUCCUACGGGAGGCAGCAGUAGGGAAUCUUCCGCAAUGGGCGAAAGCCUUACGGAGCAACGCCGCGUGAGUGAUGAAGGUCUUCGGAUCGUAAAACUCUGUUAUUAGGGAAGAACAAAUGUGUAAGUAACUAUGCACGUCUUGACGGUACCUAAUCAGAAAGCCACGGCUAACUACGUG
rnacentral:rRNA from 1 species